GCCGUCUUGCGCAAAUGCCAUGUGAUGGAUGCCUAGCUUUGGGAGCCGAAGAAGGUCGUGACAAGCAGCGAUAUGCUGAGGGAAGGCGCAUGUAGCCGUUGAUCCUCAGAUUACCUAAUGGGACUUCCUAACAAGCUCCGGCUUGUUAUACCAGACUAUGGUAAGGGAACCCGCCGAAUGGAAACAUCUUAGUAGGCGGAGGAAAAGAAAACAAGAGUUAUUCCCCUAGUAACGGCGAGUGAAAAGGGAAAAGGGCAAACCGAAUCCUAUGGGAAAUGUGGUGUUUGGGCCGGUUCAAUACCAACUAUAAGCUGGUUGAAGAGAUCUGGAAAGAUCCGCGAUAAAGGGUGAUAGCCCCGUAAACGAGUGGUUAGGCGGUAGAACUGGUUCCAGAGUAGCGGGGAUUGGAAAUUCCUCGUGAAUAUGCCAGGCAUUAACUGGCAACCCUAAAUACUCCCCAAAAGCGAUAGUGUACUAGUAGCGUGAGCGAAAGGUGAAAAGUCCGCCGAAAGGCGUGUGAAAAGUGCCUGAAAUCACAUGGUUAUAGAACGUUAGCAGCUCGAAAGCUUAGAAACUCGAAGUAGUGAACUUCGGUAACGAAAUGAACGAUUUGAGUCGAGCGGAGUUGCUAGAUCCGUCUUGAAACACGGGCCAGGGAGUUUAUUUCUGUGGCAAGCUUAAGGAGCUAUCUCCGAAAGCACAGGGAAACCAAUGCAUCGUAACCUUCGGGCCAGGAUGCUGGUAUGAAAGUGCCAGAGUCACAGGGAUAAGACCAGAAACGCGACGAUCUUAGCUUGGACAGGUUGAAUCGCUUCGAAAGGAGCGUGGAAGGCCGAAUAGGUACUUAAGUGCAAUUAGUUCUGUUGAUCUGAGUUAAGUGGCAAAAGACCAAUCAAGUCGCGUGAUAGCUGGUUCCCGCAGAAGUGGACCACAGUCCAGCCUCAGCUGAGGUAGCCGACGUUGUAGAACACUGAUAAGGGUCACCUUGAAGUAAAAUUCAGGGCCUCUAUUCAAAUUCCGAAGGCGUUGGCGCCGA
rfam:Archaeon Heimdall LC_3 HeimC3_contig000011, whole genome shotgun sequence.